UGGGCUGCUACGGCGUACUGGGCGUAAGAGUUGCGUAGGUGGCAUGGUAAGCGCAUAUUGAAAUGAUGCGGCUCAACCGCAUGUCCAUUAUCUGAACUGCCAAGCUUGAGCAUAGUAGAGGUAGCUGGAAUUCCCGGUGUAGGAGUGAAAUCCGUAGAUAUCGGGAGGAACACCGAUGGCGUAGGCAGGCUACUGGGCUAUUGCUGACACUAAGGCACGAAAGCGUGGGGAGCGAACGGGAUUAGAUACCCCGGUAGUCCACGCCGUAAACUAUGGAUGCUAGCUGUUAUCAGUAUCGACCCUGAUAGUAGCGAAGCUAACGCGUUAAGCAUCCCGCCUGGGGAGUACGGUCGCAAGACUAAAACUCAAAGGAAUUGACGGGGACCCGCACAAGCGGUGGAGCGUGUUGUUUAAUUCGAGGCUAAGCGAAGAACCUUACCAGGGUUUGACAUCCCGGGAAGAUCCCCGAAAGGGGAUUGUGCCUUCGGGAACCCGGUGACAGGUGUUGCAUGGCCGUCGUCAGCUCGUGUCGUGAGAUGUUUGGUUAAGUCCAUUAACGAGCGCAACCCUUAUAGUCUGUUGUAUUUUUCAGGCUAGACUGCCCCGGUAACGGGGAGGAAGGAGGGGAUGAUGUCAGGUCCGUAUUACCCUUACACCCUGGGCUACAAACACGCUACAAUGGCCGGUACAAAGGGCUGCCAAGCAGCAAUGCGGAGCAAAUCCCAUCAAAGCCGGUCUCAGUUCGGAUUGUCGGCUGAAACUCGCCGGCAUGAAGCUGGAAUCGCUAGUAACGGUAGGUCAGCUUACUACCGUGAAUACGUUCUCGGGUCUUGUACACACCGCCCGUCAAACCAUGAAAGUCGCCAAUACCCGAAGUCUGAUUUAUCAGCCUAAGUAGGGAGAUGAUUGGGGUU
rnacentral:rRNA from 1 species